UGUGGAAAGAGAUAGAAAAAAAAAAUAAUACACUCAGAGCUUUAAACCCGGAAGUAGGAAAUCCUGGGCGUGAGGAGACGCCUGAUUGGCUACGUCGUUUGCGCUACGCCCAAGAAAGCUUGGUUACCAGCGCCUCCCUGGUUGCGGAGACGCAGUUUUUUUCCCCUUAUCAUUGGCUGCGCCCAGUUUACAAGAAUUGCGAGGCGUGAGUAACAGCGUAAACGGUAUGCUGGCUGCUUGUGACUGAUGACGUCACGUGUGGGCGGAGCUAUGUUGUGUGACAGGGGACAUGCUGUGGUUGGAUGGUGAGGAUCACAUGUACCAAUUCCAGUACUGAGUGAGGUAAGCAGCACUGUGUAUGUAUAGAUAUUUUACACUUUAUAUAUGGCUACAUGGAAGGUAAUUGGUGCCCUUUACACACAGGCCUGUGUUCAGCCUGCCAUUAUACAGCUGGGCAGCUCCAUGCUCACUUUGCAGGACUGUGUGUAGUUAUGGGAACAUGUCAUUAACCCCUUAAGGAGCAACAUAAUAAUUCUGUCUUAAUUAAGUGACCCUUAAAGACCUUGAAAUAUAAAAUACAAAUGGCUUAUUCAUAUCAAAUAGUAAUGGUACAUGGGUAGAAAAUGCCAUAUUGCUAUGGGGUGUUUAGAGACCAGGUUAAGAUGAGGAUAUUAAAUGGCAUUGGUCCUUAAGGGGUUAAAUUAUCUAACCUAAUCUUCACUGAUAUCUCUGUAUUUAGGUCUGCAGAUGGUAGGUUACAUUUUUUUUUUUCUACAUCUUUUUAUUAUUUGAUUUUACAUUGUUUCACUAAUUUCUCCUUUUAUCAUGAUUUGCAACGUCCUAUAAUGAGAAUGUCCUCACCGUAUGAUGCUUCUUCACUGUCUAAUAACUAUAUGGAUUUGCUGGUAUUUCUUCUUGCAUACAGGAUCUAAGAAUGUUCAUUUGUAUUGGUCUUCCUUCCCUCUUUUUAUUGAUUCUCCAUCCUUUUUUUUUUUUUUUUUUUUUAACCCCAUCCAAGCUGUGCUGACAUUUGUUUCUGUGUUAUCUUUUUUUAGGCAUAUCACACAUCAAUGAGUCUCAGUUCACAGGGAAUGUCAUUAAUCUGACUAUAAUCAUGGAUUUCUAGCAAGAACAAAAGGACUAUUUAUUUAACAGCUUAAGACUCAGGAGGUAAGCAGUACCUAUGUGUUUCUCACUUGUGAUCCAUCUCUUUGUAACACUCCUUCAUAAACACCACAGGAAAAC
rnacentral:lncRNA from 1 species